CCCUGAACGAGCAAUGCCGCGUGAGCGAAGAAGGUCUUCGGAUUGUAAAGCUCUUGUUGCCGGGGAAAAAGGAAGGAAAGAGGAAAUGCUUUUCUUUGGAUGGUACCCGGCCAGAAAGUCACGGCUAACUACGUGCC
rnacentral:rRNA from 1 species